rnacentral:rRNA from 1 species
UUUGAGAGAGAGUAAACAGUGCGUGAAGCCGAUCAGAGGUAAACGGGUGGAGUUGAACUGCAAGCUCUGGGAAUUCAGCUGGUGAGCGUGAUUUUGAGCUGGGUCAAUUUGGUUGGACCGCGGAGUCUGCGUAGCGGCAGGCCUUUGCCUCUCGGGGUAGGGGUGCGCGAUGCACUUGUCAAGUGUUGUGCGCUUCGCGUGUUCUUCGGGCUGACUUGCCAGUGCACUUUUCCAGAGUAGUCACCACGACCGGCACUGCUGUCUGGCUGGUGCGGUUAAACCGGUCAUGCAUCGUCCUUGUGGCUUUGCUUGGUCGGGAUGGCAGGUAGCUCGUUGACUAGCCUGUGGUUCGCUGCAGGUGUUGGUUUUCGAGUGUAAUCAGCUGACCGUAUGGGUUCUGUGCAGUGUGUCGGAGACGGCGGCUUUAGUGUGUGCGUGCGUGCCAUGUUGGCCGGCGUGUUCGAGUUCUGGUUGUUACGUAGCCUGUGAAGGCAGGCCUGAUGAUGGCUCGGAUUCGUUCGGUUGGCGGUCGCGUGCGUGAUACGUUGCGUGGGCCGAUAGUCUGUGGUGUAGUGGUAGACGAUCCACCUGACCCGUCUUGAAACACGGACC